rnacentral:rRNA from 1 species
GAUGAACGCUAGCGGCAGGCUUAAUACAUGCAAGUCGAACGGCAAGGACUUUCGGGUCCCUAGAGUGGCGCACGGGUGAGUAACACGUACACAACAUACCCUAUAUUGGAGGAUAGCCUUGGGAAACUGGGGGUAAUAUUCCAUAGUAUUUAUUGGAGGCAUCUCUGAUAAAUUAAAGAGCAAUCGAUAUAGGAUUGGUGUGCGUCCCAUUAGCUAGUUGGUAGGGUAACGGCCUACCAAGGCUACGAUGGGUAGCUGGCGUGAGAGCGCGACCAGCCACACUGGAACUGAGACACGGUCCAGACUCCUACGGGAGGCAGCAGUAGGGAAUAUUGGACAAUGGAGGCAACUCUGAUCCAGCCAUGCCGCGUGGAGGAUGACUGCCCUCUGGGUUGUAAACUCCUUUUGUACAGGAAGAAACCUCCUCAUUUAUUGAGUGAGCUGACGGUACUGUAAGAAUAAGCACCGGCUAACUCCGUGCCAGCAGCCGAC